CCAGAGAUGCUGCCCGGCCCGCUGAGUUACUCCAGCACUUUUGGCUUGGUAGAUUACACGUUUUGUUCACAUUGCAUUUAGUUAAAAAGACAUGAAAUGUUCUGAAGUCAUUUUCAAACAUCUAAAUUUGUUUUGUUUUUU